rnacentral:rRNA from 1 species
CGUAGGGUGCGAGCGUUAAUCGGAAUUACUGGGCGUAAAGCGUGCGCAGGCGGCUUUGCAAGACAGAUGUGAAAUCCCCGGGCUCAACCUGGGAACUGCAUUUGUGACUGCAAGGCUAGAGUACGGCAGAGGGGGAUGGAAUUCCGCGUGUAGCAGUGAAAUGCGUAGAUAUGCGGAGGAACACCAAUGGCGAAGGCAAUCCCCUGGCCUGUACUGACGCUCAUGCACGAAGACGUGGGAGGCAAACAGGAUU